UACGUAGGCAGCAAGCGUUGUUCGGAUUUACUGGGCGUAAAGCGCACGUAGGCGGAUCGUUAAGUCGGGGGUGAAAUCCUGGAGCUCAACUCCAGAACUGCCUUCGAUACUGGCGAUCUUGAGUCCGGAAGAGGUGAGUGGAACUCCUAGUGUAGAGGUGGAAUUCGUAGAUAUUAGGAAGAACACCAGUGGCGAAGGCGGCUCACUGGUCCGGUACUGACGCUGAGGUGCGAGAGCGUGGGGAGCAA
rnacentral:rRNA from 1 species